GACAUGCUAUUCACGGUUUAAUUGAGGAAUCUGCUUAUCCUUACAUGUCCAAGAAAAUGGAAGGACAGGUGUAUGACAUUACCAAUUUCUAUAACCGAAAACCUGUAUAAAAAUAUAAACUUGCUGAUCAUGUGGUAGAACUGUGUUUCAAUGUGUCAACAAAGUUUGAGCCUGUAAUGGAUGCAUUCCCUCCAAUCCCAGAACAUUCAUUUACCUUCCUUCAUUUUGACAACUUGGAGGACCAGAUGAGGACUCAGACAGUACUUAAGGAUGUUUACGGUUGUAUCAAAUCACUCAUACCAGAACAUCAAGUUACUGUCAAAGACACUGGAAAAUUGGAAUCAAAAUGUGAAAUCUUUGUAGAAAAUUUGAGGAGGGAGGAUAUCAGAAUUACCUUCUGGUGUGACAUAGCUAGAGAGUUUGAUAUGGAAAGAGUUAAACAGUUAUCCCCACCAGUGCUCGCUGUAUUCACGGGUUUAAGGUUGGCCAAAUUCCAAGAAUGGGUAACAGCAGCAACAACAGGCCAUACAUGCAUCAUGAUCAAUCCAGAUAUUCCAAUAGCAAAUGAAUACAAAGCUGAUUUCUCGAAAUCAGGUGACAAAGUGAAAGGUACCUUUUAAACGGCCAACAACAGAAGAGAUGAUAGACAAAACAACAAAGUUGGUCUUUGAAUUAAACACAUUGGAUCCAGAUAUAUACAUGAAUAAAACAGUGUAUUGCACUGCUUCGAUCCUCCAGUUUCCAGUUCAUAAUGGUUGGUGGUAUAGAGGCUGUUCAAAGUGUUUUAAACAACUUAAGCAAAGACAAGACACCGGUAAAUUAAUUUGUCCUAAACAUGAUGUGCAAAUAGCUGUGCCAUGUUACAAAGUUUAUGUCACCAUUCGAGAUGAUAAUAAUCAAGCAACACUCAUUCUGAUGGGGAGACAGGCAGAGCAGCUAUUUGGCAUCAAUUGUCAAAAUCUGGAGAACAAAAGACUGUAUCCAACAUAGCAGACACUACAAGAAGAGAUUAAGAAGACAACUGAUGAAACCUAUCUCUUUGAAAUCACAGUCAAUCAAUAUGCCGAGCUGACGGUCAGAAACAUUUUCCCAAGUAAGCAAUCCUUUGCAUCGAUGGUGGAACAUAGCCCAACCACUGAACACCAGAGUGGCUUCCAACUGAAAGAAAAAGAAACAUUGAAGCAAGUGGAAAAGCUUUGUGCAUCGUAGAGCCUGAGAAAAAAGCCAAGAACAAGAAGGAGACCAAGCGUGGAGCAAUGAUAUCGGCAUCAUCGGUGUCAUCAUCAGUAAGCAAAGAACAACUUUAGAAAGAAAAGGCAGACUGAAUCUAAAUUGCUCCUCUAUACACCUGUAACUUAUUUUAUCUAAUUAUACCUGCGCUGACUCCAUUUUGUGUACAGCUAUAGUCAGCGAAACAACUGGAUCUUUUGGGAACUGGAGGUAUUAAUUUUUUGGUUAAACUCCAGUCCAACUUUUUGGUAAUUAGCUCCAGUUGUUUCAGCAGUGAUCGAUAACAGAUCUAAUGAUCUUUGAACAAUGGAAGCAGUUAAUUUUUUGGACAACCAAUGCCAGCUACUCUGGCUGGGUUAUACUAGCUUCCUUUGAAUCAAAUACUCUAUCAGUACUGUAUUGACUUAACUAUCUGUAGUAAUUUGUGAGUAAUGUUUAAAUUCCAUUUCUUCAUAAACUGUUAUCUUUACAAUACAGUUCUUUAUUACAUAUCAUAUCACUUUAAAAGCCUGGAGUAUGUUUUGCCAAUUAGUCUAAAUAUCAUGUCAUAUUUUGUGGUUUGCAUAAUCAAGCUUUUUCUAACAAUUCGUUUCACUUACAAGUUUUCGCAGAUAGCAGGACUACAUUUAAUCUUUGUUUCGAUAUGUUUUUACACCAUUUAUUGAACUCAUAAUUUUAUUAUGUUUACAACUCACAAUCAAUCAUUACAAGAUUUGGAACCACUACUUCAAUCUCGAUUAUCGUUCUCAUC